GGAGAGAUGUCCGAGUGGUUGAAGGAGCCGCUCUCGAAAAGCGGUACUCCGUUUACGGGGUCGAGGGUUCGAAUCCCUCUCUCUCCG
rnacentral:tRNA from 1 species